GAUGAACGCUGGCGGCGUGCCUAAUACAUGCAAGUCGAGCGAACGGACGAGAAGCUUGCUUCUCUGAUGUUAGCGGCGGACGGGUGAGUAACACGUGGAUAACCUACCUAUAAGACUGGGAUAACUUCGGGAAACCGGAGCUAAUACCGGAUGAUAUUUUGAACCGCAUGGUUCAAAAGUGAAAGACGGUCUUGCUGUCACUUAUAGAUGGAUCCGCGCUGCAUUAGCUAGUUGGUAAGGUAACGGCUUACCAAGGCAACGAUGCAUAGCCGACCUGAGAGGGUGAUCGGCCACACUGGAACUGAGACACGGUCCAGACUCCUACGGGAGGCAGCAGUAGGGAAUCUUCCGCAAUGGGCGAAAGCCUGACGGAGCAACGCCGCGUGAGUGAUGAAGGUCUUCGGAUCGUAAAACUCUGUUAUUAGGGAAGAACAUAUGUGUAAGUAACUGUGCACAUCUUGACGGUACCUAAUCAGAAAGCCACGGCUAACUACGUGCCAGCAGCCGCGGUAAUACGUAGGUGGCAAGCGUUAUCCGGAAUUAUUGGGCGUAAAGCGCGCGUAGGCGGUUUUUUAAGUCUGAUGUGAAAGCCCACGGCUCAACCGUGGAGGGUCAUUGGAAACUGGAAAACUUGAGUGCAGAAGAGGAAAGUGGAAUUCCAUGUGUAGCGGUGAAAUGCGCAGAGAUAUGGAGGAACACCAGUGGCGAAGGCGACUUUCUGGUCUGUAACUGACGCUGAUGUGCGAAAGCGUGGGGAUCAAACAGGAUUAGAUACCCUGGUAGUCCACGCCGUAAACGAUGAGUGCUAAGUGUUAGGGGGUUUCCGCCCCUUAGUGCUGCAGCUAACGUAUUAAGCACUCCGCCUGGGGAGUACGACCGCAAGGUUGAAACUCAAAGGAAUUGACGGGGACCCGCACAAGCGGUGGAGCAUGUGGUUUAAUUCGAAGCAACGCGAAGAACCUUACCAAAUCUUGACAUCCUUUGACAACUCUAGAGAUAGAGCCUUCCCCUUCGGGGGGGACAAAGUGACAGGUGGUGCAUGGUUGUCGUCAGCUCGUGUCGUGAGAUGUUGGGUUAAGUCCCGCAACGAGCGCAACCCUUAAGCUUAGUUGCCAUCAUUAAGUUGGGCACUCUAAGUUGACUGCCGGUGACAAACCGGAGGAAGGUGGGGAUGACGUCAAAUCAUCAUGCCCCUUAUGAUUUGGGCUACACACGUGCUACAAUGGACAAUACAAAGGGCAGCGAAACCGCGAGGUCAAGCAAAUCCCAUAAAGUUGUUCUCAGUUCGGAUUGUAGUCUGCAACUCGACUACAUGAAGCUGGAAUCGCUAGUAAUCGUAGAUCAGCAUGCUACGGUGGAUACGUUCCCGGGUCU
rnacentral:rRNA from 1 species